rnacentral:lncRNA from 1 species
UCCUGACUUAGUUUGAAUAUGGCUUACUAGAACUGAUGAACAUUGGACAGAGCUUGAAUCUGAUCUAGAUUCAACCAAACUAGGCAAAACUACAUAACUCUUGACCUUUAUCUGGUUAAAAGUUAAGGUUCUAAAAGACGCUAGGCGCUAAUCGAGCGGCAGACUAGGGUUUAGUGCCUCGGUGCUAGGCGAACUAGGUGAAUUUAAUUAAAUUUAUUAUAUAACAUAUAAAUAAGUGCCUAAUUACACUCUAAAAAAUAAAAAAAAUAUACUUGUAGUGAGAAUUUGGUAAAGUUAAAACUUAAGUCAUCAUAGCAUUGUCAUCAUCACAGACUAAUGGAAUAAAAAUAAGAAAAGCACAAAAUCCAAAACCAAAUUUGAAAAUUCACUAAUGCAUAAACUAGGUUCUAUUUUGUAGGUUACCCAGAAAACCCUUUUAAGUUAAUUAAAAAACAUUUAAAAACAAUAGAACCGCCUAGAUACCGCCUAGCCCCUACCUGAAUUUUCUGCGAGUUUUCGCUUAAAUCGCAUCGGUCCUCCACUGCCUAGCCUGCCUAGAUACCGCCUUGGCCGAUUUUUAAAACCAGCAAUUGAAAACCAAAUUUUUUUCUAUUCUAAUAUUUAAUAACAGUGUUUGGGCCCAAAAUAUUGGUUUGGGCUGAAUUUAGAAUUGUUCUCGGCUUAGAGGCCAUGCUUAGGAGUCGCUGGGGGUCAUCCGGCUUAUAGGCCAUAUAGCCAAGGCCGGCUGUGCCCUAUUAGGAGUCCAUGGGUGGUUGAAUUUUGAUAUGAGAAGGAGUUUCGACAGGAUAAGGAUGUAGAAAUUUGAGAUUGAAGGCGGCCUGAUAAGGGGGUUGAGUUCAAAGUCCUAGUAGGAGUAAGAGUGGUUGAGAUAAGGUUAGAUUGGGGGAAUGAGUUCUAAUCCGAGUAGGGUUGUGAUUCGAUUGGAAGCAGGUUGACUACUAUAAAUAGAGGGAUGAGGACAUCAUUAAAGUCUCUCCAAUUCAACACACAAACUGCCCUGCGCAAAUUCUCGCUCUACAUGAAACCUCUUAACAACCUUGAGAUUUUUAUUUUCCUUUUUCGCCAACACACUUUCAGUUUGGAUAAACAGCACUGUGAAGGCAACCAGUGAACAUCUUCAGUUUGGAUAAACAACAAUGUUGCCGUCGAAUCAGCCGACUAUGAAGCACCUUUAGUUUGGAUAAACAGCACUGUGACAUGGUUGAUUGGUUAUCUAUCCAAGUCUCGGUCGAGAAUGAUUUUCGAAUCCUUAUUAGCAGAGGUCAUCUCAUUAGCCUUCUCGACGUAGUGAGGUGUUACAUGUUACUACAUUUGGCACAUUGAAAGCUGAAUUUGAUAUUGAACUUCGCAGAACUAGCAACCUUGUUUUCAGGCUCUAGAACUUGAAGGCCGAUAGUGUUUCUUCCUCGGUCGCAGUCGCAAGAUCGAGAAGUCAACCGCGCGCUCAGCGCAACAUAAACACAUUUUACUCCUCGGCUGAGCUCUGCCGACGAGUUGGCACACCUCGCAUCAAUCGAAUGCCGUAGUUAGCUCAUUAGUUACUCGGCCUGCGCACCAUGUAGGCUUGGUAGUUUUUAGGGUCAACAUUUUGGCACGCCCAGUGGGACCCAGUGCUAAAACUACGAAGUUCAUGACCAUCGAGAUACGAUCAGUAAAAAAGAAAACAACCAUGGGAAAAUCAGCGAUCGAUCUGCCGGUUCAGAGUCCUGGACAAAAAGUGUCACAUGCGCGAAAUCCUCUCGUUGCUGUGACCCUUGAGGCUGCAAGUAUGACACACCAAGAAAAGGAAGUUUGCCUCGAUACCCAGCCUCGAAACACAGAAGUACUUAACCGAACCGCCGGCGUUUUCAUUGAAGGAAUAGUGGAUGACUACGACGAAGAUGGUGGUGAAGGCUCUGACCCUCCAACUAGGUCGUUUCUUCGAAGGCGGCUUGAUGAGCAAUCUCGACAAGUCGAACAGACAGUUGUUCAAAAAAUGAACACUUUGCUCGAGGUAAUACGAAGUAAUGGUGAGACCCACACCAAAUUGCUCAAGUUAUUAGUUAGCAGAGUCUUCGAAGGAGGAUCUGCUGAUCAGGCUCGGCAACUUCCAUUAAGAAGUAAUCCGCUAUAGGCCGAAGUAGUGUUUACUCGGCCCAAAACGAUUGACUUAGAAAAAAAAGGGAGGAUCAAGUAGUAGGUCAGAUGGAUCUGACCAGAGAAUGGAAACGACAUUUGUCGAUAUGACCGAGGUCAAACGAAUGAUCGAUUCGGCCUUGAAAAAAGGGUCGAAGUUCCCAAAAUUCAUCCAUCCAUAUCCAGUUUAUGUGGAAAAGUUCGAAUAUCCUAAAGGUUUCAAGAUUCCAGAUUUCAACCUUUUUGUUGGAAAAUCAUCCUUAUCCUCGUUAGAACAUGUGGCCCGUUUUACUACGCAAUGCGGAGAUGUCAAUAGUGAUUUCUAUAAACUAUGGUUGUUCAACUUUUCGUUAAUAGGCUCAGCAUUCGCAUGGUAUAUCAACCUCUCACCUAAUUCUAUCCAAAGCUGGGAGGAGUUGGUCGAGAAGUUUCACGAAAAAUUCUAUCGAUCGGGGAUGGAAAUGUCAGUUUCUUCAUUGGUUAGGAUAACUUAAGCAUCUGAUGAGUCACCAAUGGACUAUCUUACAAGGUUUAAAUUGGCCAAGAAUUGGUGCCGAGUACCUCUUCCCGAAGUCGAAUUUGUUAGGCUUGCUCUGAAUGGGCUCGACGUGGAGUACAAAAAGAAAUUUCUGGGGGCAAACUUCUGGGAUAUGUAUGAGUUAGCCUAACACGUCGAGCAAUAUGAUUAUUUGCUCUGAGAAGAAAAGGCCUUAAAAUCCCCAUCCCGAGGAACGAUUUCCAAAAAAUCCCAUGGUCAGCUACGAAUCGACCGAAUGCGAAGAUUCCCAAUACGUCAGUGUGGACGUGGCCGAGAUAGUAAUAGAUAAACCAUAUGUCUGCAAGGCAUUGACUUAAAUUAAUUCCAAGGAUGCCAAAACCCGCUUGACCACUGAAGAGACGGCGAAAACAUCGAAAGUUUACACUUUUGAUAUCACAAAGGCUGAUGCAAUUUCGACCAAUUGUUGUUAGAAAAGAUUAUUAAACUUUGGCCAGGACAUAACAUUCCUAAGGCCGAAAAGCUUAAAGGGAAGAUGUAUUGGAUGUAUUGCAAGUACCAUAACUCGACUAAGCAUACCACGAACAAUUGUGUCGUUUUCCGUGAUGAUAUUCAAAGCUGGAUUGACAAAGGCAAGCUAAAGUUUCUCGAAAAACGAAUGACGGUUGAUGCUGAUCCAUUCCCUUCGGCAACAGUUGGCAUGGUAGACGCCCAUUUGCCCAAGAGAAAAUGGAAAAGGAAGGCCGAGUCUGUCCCAUUACAACACGUCCCAAAGAAAAACUCCCAGCCACGACUCAAGAUUGACCUAUUUUCCAAUGAACCACCUACCAAGUUUUCAGGACCAGAUGUAGUCGAAUCUAUGUCAGAUUCCAGUGCAUAAGAAAUUGAUGGGUCGAUGGUUUUGUGUAGCAAUUGUAGGGCACGCGUUGUAUUAACCGAAUCCAAGGAGAGAUCAACACCACGACAACCAUCCAAGUCCGCGACGACACCCCCAAAGGAACUUGGCGGAGGCCAACGCCAGAAAGUGUUUGGUAAGCUCGGCCUUCAGGAACAGACAAAUGGUCUUACCUCGCCUAGAUGACGCCUUGACUUCGACGCGCCGUUUUAUAACAAGGAUUAUUACUCGCAUAAUUCCAGCAGCUCAAGUUUUUCGAAGAAUAAAAAAACCUCCAAACCACCUAAGCCACGCGACCAACGUUGGUACAUUUACAAUUCCCCCACUGGUAUGUAUAUUGCAAUAUCCAAAUCUCAAAAAUGUCGACGCCAACAGAUAGAUUGCAUGGCUCGACGAUAGGUAGCACAUGCUAUUCCAACUAUUAAAUGGUAGUUGAAAGAGGCAACAGGAAGCGACGAUGACCGAUGUACCCCGACCAUCAUGGCCGAAUUACUUCAAGAGAAAAAGGCAGUUGAUCGCGACUUUGAAACCACCAUUGAAGAGUCCGAGAAACGCAUCAAACUCAUUCUUCGGCUCGGGGAGAUGAAAGCUCGGUUCGAGCAUUUUAGAAAAGAAGCCGAAAGCAAGCUUCCCUCGUUGCCUUUGCAAGUUCCAUUAAUAAAGGUUCGGCGAAACCUACACCCUUAAUUCCUCGGCUAAUCCUUGGAGUACAUGCGCGAAUUUCAUAAAGAACAUUAUGCCAAUGACUUGUAUGGCCUGCCCAAGGCAUGUCAAGAAGCCAUCGACCUGGCACUAACUUACCUUGAUGUUGAACAGAUUAUCUAGAAAACCACCGAUCCAGCAAUGAAAGCCAGGUUCCAGCACAUAUGAGAAGCCAGGGUCCUUAGCUUUGAGGUUGAUCCAUACACGGACAUUGAUAUAGCCGAGCUUCCUUUUUCUUUUGACGACCUUCAACAUUUACGACACCACUUCGAAGUCUUUUUGACCGUAUCUCUCUUCGGUCUUACGACCGAUGAAAAAGAUCGGGUGGCGCGACUGGAUGCCUACCUAGACACAAGAGACGCCCGGAUCGCCUAUGAGGAAUGAGCUCGUAAGGCAUUGCAGGGGCAAAAUCAGACACCAAUAACUAAUGGGCUUGACGACAACAGUCAAAAGGAAGCAAGGUCGGGUUACAUGGCACAAGAGCAAGUACGUGUUGAGACACAUGAUAAUCAGGCCGAAGAUGUUCUAACGACCGAUGCUACAGUCCUCGAUAACCCGGAAGAAAACGACCAGGAUCCGAUGGGCCCUUUAGUCCUUGAGAACAUGGAAAUCAGCAUGGUCCAUGUUUUACCUGUUGAAUUCCAGCCAACUACACACCAACCAAAUUUCUUGGAUGGUGAUAUAGUGGCUGAGGAAGCCACACAAGUUGAUUUCAUCACCAACACCGAAGAUGAGCAAGUAAAUAACGACGCCAAACUUAAAACAGCCUUGGCCAAAUUGUUUCCUUGCUCAUCCUCAGCUAACCUUCAACAUUUAAAGCCAUUGUAUGUCACGGCCCACAUUGAAGGUUACCCAAUCUCCAAAAUUUUCAUCGAUUGCGGGGUGACGGUCAAUAUCAUGCCCAUAUCUGUCAUGAAAGCAUUACGACGAUCCAACGAAGAACUCAUCCCAUUAGGGAUAACCAUGAGCAGCUUUGUCGGUGAUAAGUCUCAAACCAAAUGAGUGCUCCCUUUAGAGGUAAACAUUGCAGGUCGCAAUCACAUUAUCGUAUUUUUUAUCGUCGACUCCAAGACCGAAUAUAAUGCUUUGCUCGGUCAGGAUUGGAUUCAUCAAACGAAUUGCAUUCCCUCUUCCUUAUACCAAGUUCUCAUUUUUUGGGACGGCAAAUCGGUUGUGGUCCAUCUAGCCAAUAAUCAGCCAUUCGAAACCAACAUGAUUCAGGCCCGCUAUUAUGACAAUCACGUUGGCUACAUUACCCUACAGGGUUUUAAUGAGGAUGGACGACCGACUUGGAUCUUAAUUCAGAAAGCCAUCGAAGUAGGCGCCGAGACUGUACCCCAGGAUUCGGCAAGACUUGGCUUGGGCGACUUAAUUACCUACACGGAUGAAUGAUGCCACAAGAGAAAGGCAUCAGGCCACGGUUUCAUCUACGAUGGAACGUCUCCUGGCUCAUUGGUAUGUUAUUUCUAAGCAUCCACGAUUGGGCAUCAACUUAAUCAAAUUUUUGGCCGAGGAAGAUAACGGCCCAGUACUAUCGUUAGAUAAAGAUCAGGCUGCACCGGCCGAACUCGAAGACAGUCGACCCCAAGUUAAGGACCCCUUAGAAGAAAUAAAUGUUGGAACGACCAAUGCCCUUCGACCGUUAUUUAUUAGUGCAUUGUUACCCGAUUCCAUGAAAGUCGAACUUUGUUAAUUACUCAACGAGUUUAAAGAUUGUUUUGCUUGGAGUUAUCAUGAGAUGCCGGGCCUUGAUUGGACCCUUGUUGAACAUGAAUUACGCAUGAAAGCUGGUUGUAAGCCUUUCGGCCAGCCCUUCGCCGAUUCUCGAUCAAAGUACAGCUCGGCAUAAAAGACGAACUAGUUUGACUUUAAAAAGCUGGGUUUAUUCGGACCGCUCAAUACGUCGAGUGGUUGGCCAAUAUCGUCCCGGUGCUAAAGAAAAAUGGCGCCCUACGCAUCUGUAUCGAUUUUUGUAAUUUGAACUUGGCAACGCUCAAAGAUGAAUACCCGAUGCCGAUCUCCGACUUGUUAAUUGACGCCAUAACACAUCACGAGAUCUUAUCCUUUAUGGAUGGGCAUGCAGGUUAUAAUUAGAUUUUCAUCGCCAAAGCUGAUGUCCAUAAGAUUGUUUUUCGUUGCCCCGGGGAACUUGGCACAUACGAUUGGGUCGUCAUGCCCUUCGGCCUCAAGAACAUAAGUGCUACGUACCAACUAGCUAUGAACACUAUUUUCCAUGAUUUAAUUGGUACCAUCGUCGAAGUCUACAUCGACGAUGUGGUCAUCAAAUCAGCACGUCGGCAGACGCAUUUGGAUGACAUCUGUUAGGCGUUCCUGUGCAUGCACCGACACAAUCUUAAGAUGAAUCCCGCGAAAUGUGCUUUCAGCGUAUCAGCUGGAAAUUUUUUAGGCUUCCUCGUACAUCACCGUGGUAUUGAGGUGGAUGACAACAAGGCUCGUGCAAUCAUUAAUGCUCCACCCCCGACGACUAAGAAACAAUUACAAUCGUUGCUCGACAAGAUCAAUUUUCUCCGACGAUUUAUUGCUAAUUCAGCCGGGAAAAUGAAAGCCUUCUCCAUGCUUUUAAAACUUAAGGACUCCGACACCUUCGAAUGGCGUGUUGAGCACCAAUAGGCAUUUACGUAGAUCAAGGUCUUUUUAACGACUCCACCAGUCCUCGUCCCACCACGACGAGGCCAACCUCUUAAGCUAUAUAUCUCGGCGGUUGAAGAAUCCAUUGGAUUCCUUCUUGGACAAGACAAUGAUGCUGGGCGAUAACAGACCAUUUUUUACCUUAGCCGAAGCCUCAACCCAUCAGAGAUUAAUUACUUCGCUGUCGAAAAGCUUUGUCUCGCCUUAUUUUUCGCCGCGUCAAAACUCAGACAUUACAUGCUUCCGUCAAUCACUCAGGUCAUCGCCAGACCGAUGUCAUUCGUUACAUGCUCACUCGGUCGGAUCGGCAAGUGGACGAUGGCCCUUUCUUAGUUCAGCUUGCAAUAUGUGCCACAGAAAGCUGUCAAAGGUUAAGUUCUGGCCGAUUUUUUGGCCCAACACCCUUCCCCGUAUGAGUUCGGGGGUAAUGACAUUGACAUCGGCUUGGUACAAACACGUGAUAAUUACUGGACGAUGUACUUUGAUGGUUCCAAUACUUCAAUCUUGGCUGGCGUUGGGAUAGUUAUUUAAUCCCCCUCAUAAUCGUUGGUAUUUUUCUCUCAAGCUCGAUUUCGAUUGUACAAAUAAUGAGGUCGAAUACGAAGCCUUUGUUAUCGGCCUCGGUGUGCUACACGAUUUGCGGGCAACUCGUGUCCUUGAUCUUGGUGACUUUGAACUUGUCAUUAAUCAACUCAACGAGACUUUUCGUUGCAUGAGUUGUACUCUGGCGCUUUACCACAUGGUUGCUAACUAUUUGGCCGAACCUUUCGACGGUGCUACUUUCAAACACAUUUCACGAGUUCAUAACACUAACGCCGACGAAUUAGCUCAAAUAGCCUUCGGAGCACAACUCAUGUGGGGCAAAUUAGGCCGAGAAAUACCUGUGUCACGACAAGCACAUUCGGCUUUGAUUAAUCAGCAAGUUCUCCAACGUGAUUGCAUAAUCCGUACACGGGUCAUGUCUUUGCCUUCGUUGUUAGAACGGAGGGACAAUAUUGAGGUUUGUGCCGUCGAGGCAUUACCAGACGAUUGGAGAAGGACAAUUAUGCGAUAUUGAUAACCCUAACGAAAAACACGACUGACGGACAAGGGUUCAUGCCACAAACUACGUAUUAUACCAGAAUGAGUUGUGUCGAAAAGGUGAGGAUGGGUUAUUGUUGCUAUGCCGCGGCCCGUAGGAAGUUGCUCGAGCAAUGGUAGAAGUACACGAAGGAAUUUGCAGAGCCCACCAAUCUGGAUGAAAAAUGCGUUGGCUACUUUGGCGGCACGGUUAUUUCUGGCCGAGUAUUCUGAAAGAUUGUAUUGAAUAUGCAAAGGGUUGUGUACAAUGUCAAAUCCAUGGGCCUAUACAGAGAGUACCGACCGAAUCAUUACAUUCGGUCACCAAACCAUGGCCGUUCCAAGGAUGGGCCAUGGAUGUUAUCAGUAAAAUCACACCAUCAGCCAAACAUGCAUGGAUACUCGUUACAAUAGACUACUUCACCAAAUGGGUCGAAGCCAAGUCAUAUGCUGAGCUAACGUUUAAAGAAGUUUGUAAUUUCAUUAAAGAAAACAUUGUGACUAGAUUCGGCAUGUCAGAAACAAUCAUAACAGAUAAUGGUACGAUUUUUACAUUUGACAGAUUUAAGGAAUAUACGGCAAAUCUAAAGAUUCGACUUGAGCAAUCUAUGCCGUAUUAUCCACAGGCGAAUAGACAUGCCGAAGCGAGUAAUAAGGUUCUAAUUGGUAUUCUUGAAAAGAUGAUAAAAGAAAGGCCGGGUAUGUGGCAUUUAAAGAUAAAUGAAGCGUUGUGGGCUUAUCGAACUUCUCUACUUACAGCCACUGGAACGACUUCUUACGCGUUGACUUACGGACACGACACAAUGUUGCCAGUAGAGCUAAGUAUAAACUCGUUGCGAGUAAUUGAACAAAGUAGUUUGUUUAGCGCCGAGUACGAUUGGGCCAUGAGGCAAGAAUUAGAAGAGUUAGAAGAAGCUCAGCUCGAUGCUUAUAACUUAUUAGUGGCAAGAAGAAGCUUGGCAAACCGUACUACCCGUAGGAAUUAAAGACCCCAGGUUCGGCAAGUGGUUGCCGAAUUGGGAGGGGCCAUUCGUUAUUCAUAAAGUUCUCGGCAAGGGAACAUAUCGUCUUAGGGAUCGAACUGGUAUAGUUCAUAAGUUGCCAAUCAACGGGAGGUUUUUAAAGAACUAUUAUCCAGUCACAUGGGAAAUGCGGGAAUAAAAGUUCAUUUCAUUAAAUUUGCAAAAAGUGUACAAAUGGAAUGAGUCGAUCAAUUACAAUCAAAUAAUUCUAGGGUGAUGAAGGUAGGAGAGACUCAAGAACGACCUUCAACACUAGCCACCGCACCUCGCCCAUCGUGACCUCAGCUUGUCGAUUCCUCUUGUCCAUCUUUAGCUGCUCGACUAGCCUCACACUAGCCAUGUAUUCAGUUAAGUAAGAUUUACCGCUCGACUCAAAAUCCUUUGCAAGCUUGGAAGCAAUUGCCGACCUUUGAUUUUGGAGUUCGGCAAUUUGACGGUCGGUUAGGGCCUCAUUUUCGCAUUUAAAACUUCAACUUUUGGAUGAAGAGUAUCUUGAGCGAUUGUUGCAGCUUUCAAGUCGUCUUUAGCCCGAAGGAUUUUCUCGAAAAUACCGAAAUAUUCUCGGGUCCGUUCCAAGGAAGAAGACGCUUGAGUGAUAGCCUCGGUGUUCAAUUGACCAUCAGCUGCAAGAUUGUUCAGACAUGCACCAACUGAAUCAAGGCCUUGACAUUUAAGAACUUGUAAAGCUGAGAGAGACGAGCUCCUGCAACCUAACAAGAACAGUUGAUUUGGCCGGCCCGAUUGUAACUGUUGAAUGGCCAGUCGCUUCCGACGUACUCGAUAAGAGAGCAUCGAAUUCGACUUCCCAUGAAGGCUGCGCACAAAAAGGGUUUAGAUGCAAGGAAAAUCAUAGAAGAAUGUAGUAGAGAAUUUGUUUUAGACCUGCCAAGAAGAGACUUUGGCCAUGUCUCCGGGUUCAUUGCUCGAACCUAGAGAGCUUAAUGGCUGAGCCUAGUGUAUUAGAUUGCUUUUUAAUUCAAGCGACCGAUGAAGGUUAUGUUGUACUUUUAUGCACAAACGGAAGCGAAUUAUAACAAAGUACCAAAUAUCAACGUCGCAGGUGAAAGCUAAAACAAACAAUCUCAAACUGACACAAGAGAUUUAUGUGGUUCGGCGUAAAACCUACUCCACGAGCGAAGCACGGCAAAGAAUUUCACUACAGCAAAGAAUUUCACUAAACAAACGGAGAUUACAAAAGAGUUUAAACUCUCACAACCCAAAUCCCACAAAUUACAAACCCUAGACCAAACGAGUAGAGAACCCAAACCUAACGGAGAAGAUUCUCCCAAAUUGCUCUCUAACUCACAAAUUGACUCUUACCAAAUUGUCACAUGAAUGAGCCACACUAAAUACACUAACCCUAAGGUCCUAUUUAUAGUGCAUAGGACUUAGGUUAUAAUAGGAAUCCUAAUAGGAAAUAAAUCCAAAUCCUAAUCAAAUAAGUAAUUAACAAAAUCUCUCCACCAAAGAAACUAACUAAGAAGUCAAAACCAAACCCAAAUAGGACACUAAAACCAAAUAGGUAACAUAAACCUAAUUUAUUGCAUCAUCCUAAUUUUGAGCCAAAAACCCAACAAUAUCCACCUCGGCAAGAAAAUAGCAAACUUCCAAAUUUGGGAUACCAAAAUACAAAUGCAAACGUGCACCAAAUUGUUUCGAAACUGAUCUCCACCUAGACUCAAAAAAUCCAAAAGUCUUCAAACUUGAAAUUUCCUCCAACGCCUUCUCCAACAAAUUCCAUUACGGAAACUAAAAAAAAAUACGAAACAAAAUCCAAGCAAAAACUUGAACAUACGAAUAAAAAGUGCGAAUUGCACUCCACCCAAAGAGCUUGAGUACCAAGCUCCACCUCUUCACAUAACCUUUAGAGGAGUUCAGAACAACGAUCUUCUGCAAUGUUUGCAUCAACAAUAGCAAAAGACUUAUCAAACAACUUCUUUUUGCCCUUGAUUUAGGGCAAUCUACUUUCCAAUGACCUUCCUUAUAACAAUAGCUACAAGUGUUUUUUCCAAGUUUGCUCCUUUCCUUAUUCCUUCCUUGAACUACCAAAACUCCAUCUUGUGUGUCAGACACUUUAUUCUUCAACUCUUUAGAAUUCAAAAUGACUUUAAAAUCUUCCAAACUAAGACUUUCUCUACCAAAUAGCAUGGUAUCGACAAAGUGUUCAUACGAAGGAGAUAAAGAACACAACAAAGUGAUCGCAUAAUCCUCAUCACUAAUUUGGUUGUCCACACUUUUCAAAUCUAUCAUAAGUUUAUUGAAUUCAUCAACAUGCUUAUGAAUUGACGUACAUUCAUCCAUACGAAGAGUAUGCAAACUUUUCAUCAAAUACAAUCGUUUAGCAAGGGAUUUGGUCAUAUACAAGCUCUCCAAUUUUAUCCACAACUCUGGUGCAGAUUUGAUGCUACCAACUUCACGCAAGACUUCAUUCGAUAAAAUCAGCAGGAUUGCUCCAAGUGCCCGCUCCAUAACGUCUUCUUUUUCUUCAUCAGUCCACGAAUCCGGCAAAGCCUUCACACCCUUUAGCGUUUUCAAAAGCUCUUGUUGAACUAACAAAGCACGCAUAUUCAAUUGCCAAAUACCAAAGUCAUUGCCGUCGAACUUUUCAAUAUCAACUUUCACCGACGACACAGAAGGCUUCAUAAUGACUGCCAAACAAAGCCCAAGCCGAAACCUGGGCUCUGAUACCACUUGUCGUACUUUUAUGCGCAAACGGAAGCGAAUUAUAACAAAGUACCAAAUAUCAACGUCGUAGGUGAAAGCUAAAACAAACAAUCUCAAACUGACACAAGAGAUUUACGUGGUUCAAUGUAAAGCCUACUCCACGGGUGAAGCACGGCAAAGAAUUUCACUAAACAAACGGAGAUUACAAAAGAGUGUUUAAACUCUCACAACCAAAAUCCCACAAAUUACAAACCCUAAAAAUCACCAAAUUGUCACACGAAUGAGCCACACUAAAUACACUAACCCUAAGGUCCUAUUUAUAGUGCAUAGGACUUAGGUUACAAUAGGAAUCCUAAUAGGAAAUAAAUCCAAAUCCUAAUCAAAUAGGUAAUUAACAAAAUCUCUCCACCAAAGAAACUAACUAAGAAGUCAAAACCAAACCCAAAUAGGACACAAAAACCAAAUAGGUAACACAAACCUAAUUUAUUGCAUCAUCCUAAUUUUGAGCCAAAAACCCAACAAUCUCCACCUCGGCGAGAAAUUAGCAAACUUCCAAAUUUGGGAUACCAAAAUACAAAUGCAAACGUGCACCAAAUUGUUUCGAAACUGAUCUCCACCUAGACUCAAAAAAUCCAAAAGUCUUCAAACUUGAAAUUUCCUCCUGGCCUUCUCCAACAAAUUCUAUUACGGAAACUUAAAAAAAAUACGAAACAAAAUUCAAGCAAAAACUUGAACAUACGAACAAAAAGUGCGAAUUGAACUCCACCCAAAGAGCUUGAGUACCAAGCUCCAUCUCUUCACAUAACCUUUAGAGGAGUUCAGAACAACGAUCUUCUGCAAUGUUUGCAUCAACACUAGCAAAAGACUUAUCAAACAACUUCUUUUUGCCCUUGAGUUUAGGGUAAUCUACUUUCCAAUGACAUUUCUUAUAACAAUAGCUACAAGUGUUUUUUUCCAAGUUUGCUCCUUUCCUUAUUCCUUCCUUGAACUACCAAAGCUCCAUCUUGUGUGUCAGACCCUUUAUUCUUCAGCCCUUUAGAAUUCAAAGCGACUUUAAAAUCUUCCAAACUAAGACUUUCUCUACUAAAUAGCAUGGUAUCGACAAAGUGUUCAUACGAAGGAGAUAAAGAACAUAACAAAGUUAUCGCAUAAUCCUCAUCACUAAUUUGGUUGUCCACACUUUUCAAAUCUAUCAUAAGUUUAUUGAAUUCAUCAACAUGCUUAUGAAUUGACGUACCUUCAUCCAUACGAAGAGUAUGCAAACUUUUCUUCAAAUACAAUCGUUUAGCAAGGGAUUUGGUCAUAUACAAGCUCUCCAAUUUUAUCCACAACUCUGGUGCAGAUUUGAUGCUACCAACUUCACGCAAGACUUCAUUCGAUAAAGUCAGUAGGAUUGCUCCAAGUGCCUGUUCCAUAACGUCUUCUUUUUCUUCAUCAGUCCACGAAUCCGACAAAGCCUUCACACCCUUUAGCGUUUUCAAAAGCUCUUGUUGAAAUAACAAAGCAUGCAUCUUCAAUUGCCAAAUACCAAAGUCAUUACCGUCGAACUUUUCAAUAUCAACUUUCACCGACGACGCAGAAGGCUUCAUAGUGACUGCCAAACAAAGCCCAAGCCGAAACCUGGGCUCUGAUACCACUUGUUGUACUUUUAUGCGCAAACGGAAGCGAAUUAUAACAAAGUACCAAAUAUCAACGUCGUAGGUGAAAGCUAAAACAAACAAUCUCAAACUGACACAAGAGAUUUACGUGGUUCGGCGUAAAGCCUACUCCACGGGUGAAGCACGACAAGGAAUUUCACUAAACAAACGGAGAUUACAAAAGAGUUUUUAAACUCUCACAACCAAAAUCCCACAAAUUUCAAACCCUAAACCAAACAAGUAGAGAACCCAAACCUAACAGAGAAGAUUCUCCCAAAUUGCUCUCUAACUCACAAAUUGACUAUCACCAAAUUGUCACACGAAUGAGCCACACUAAAUACACUAACCCUAAGGUCCUAUUUAUAGUGCAUAUGACUUAGAUUACAAUAGGAAUCCUAAUAGGAAAUAAAUCCAAAUCCUAAUCAAAUAGGUAAUUAACAAAAUCUCUCCACCAAGGAAACUAACUAAGAAGUCAAAACCAAACCCAAAUAGGACACCAAAACCAAAUAGGUAACACAAACCUAAUUUAUUGCAUCAUCCUAAUUUUGAGCCAAAAACCCAACAGGUUAUCUACGUUCGAUGGCCACUGAGGUGGCCAAGAAAUAUAGAUAACACCCUUCGGCGCAUAGAAUUUUCGAUGAAAUGAAUAACUGGGCACUUGACAUUUAAUAUUUUUCUUGGUUCAGACUUGUUAUAACAAAAUUGACAAGAGAAAGUAAUCGAGCCUUACAAAAGCUGAUGUCGCUUCUUGAGAGGGGAUACUGAGGUCUUGGUCCUGUGGGUGAAUUGGAGUUUCUGACGUCGCUUCAGGUUCAAUGAUAGGCCUUUUUCCACGAUCGGCUACAAGAGGAUCAACCUGGUCGGUCACCUCAACCACAGGGGGAGGAUCAAUGGAAGGAGUUACGGUUGGUUGAGAGCAACUUACCGGCAGAAUCUCGUCACUCUCGUCAUCCUGAAACAAAAGAGUUGUUAAUACUUUUGAAUUUAAUGAGUGAAGAGAGUUGCCAGCAUAAUCAUACCUCUUCUAAGAUGAUCGCUGAUUGUUUUAGAUUCUUGGGGAGAUUCUUCCCGAUCAAAGGGGUUGCCUCCCCCAGAAUGGGUGCUAAAGUCGGCCUCAGAGCUGCAGACGUUUCGACCAGCAGUAUAAUAACUGGUUCGACUGCGACCUCGGGGACCUCAGGGGCCGGGUGAGCUUGGGUUGCUGGGUUGGUUGAAGAUGGUUGUUUCUUCGCUGAGGCCUGAACAACGGGAACAAGAGGAGAGGCACUUGGAGUGAUUGUUCCGGUGGUGUGGCUGGAGAUAACGUGAAUCUCUCGUGCUCCAUUAUUCGCCAAUUUCUUGACGCGUUUUGUGGGACGAGUGGCUUCACCUGCCGUCUCGGCAUCCGAGUGAGGCUGUUUGCUUAAUGUGUUUUGCGCGUCAGUUUUAGAUUUCUUGGAGGAAUGGGUCAAUUUUUUCUUGGCCAUAGCCGGGGCGACCACGUCUGCCUGUUUCAAUACCCGAUCGCCUGAGAAAGCGAAAUCUCAUUAGUAAAAUCGUUUAAGUGUUUGAAGAAUAAAGGUAGAGAUAGUCGUGUACCUUGGGGCGUCUCUUUAGAUUGAGGGGCAUAAGUUUUUUUGGGUCGAUCACAAAUUUUUUUGUUACUACGUCCUCGACCGAAGCGCCAAAAAAGUCGUGAGUAUUUUCUUCCCACCAGUCGUCGAAGAUGUUGGUGCCGAAAGAUUCAGGAACAGUUGGUCGAAGGUGAAAUUUCUUACACCGUUCCUGAAACUCCUCGGUGUCUUUGCACUCCCUUUUUGAGGAACCAAAGAGGUGUCCUCGGCUUAGAAGGGAGCGAGAAAAAGUAGGGGCACCGGGCAACCUUGGAGGUAGCCAAGCUGUCGGGCAGCAAAAUGGGGGUGGUAGAAUUCCUAACUUGCUCGGCGAGCAUCACAACCGAGGGGAAGGUCGCGAGUUAACACGAACGACCCCCAGUUUUGACGAAAACCAGCAUCUUCGCUUUCACUCCAGAUUGAUGUGGGAAGUUUACCGAAAUGGGGGUAUUCCUGACGACGACAUAUCAAAAAUUCGUUGUUGAAAAGGACGUCUAGGUCGAAGAAGUGUUUGAAGACCUCUUUAGCUAGGUGAGGAGGCACUGGGCGAGAGCUAACUGAAGGUCGAUUGCUACAGUGGAUUGGAGGUUGGAGAUUUCUGGCCGAAGUAUGGAGAAAUAAACCUGCAGCCAGAGUUAGAACACCCAGAGAGGUCCAUUCUGAUACGGGUCAAUCUUAUUGAUGGUCGUUUCUGCCAGGCAGCGCAAAAGGUUGACAAGGAUAGCGGGUCUGAGCGCCAGAGAAUGACCACUAGCCAGGGCUUCCGCCACCGGUGGCAUAUUUUAGACCAAGCACUUAUUCGACUUAGUACAACAGAAAAUAGGAAGGCCUCGUGUUCUCCCUUCCGUAGAAUCACCUCCCAUCGACCAGCAAAAUGGAGGAUAAGGGUGUUGUAGUUAAGGAAAUUCUUAUGCAACUUCUGAACUUCCUCUUUUGAAGGCUCUUGACCUUUUUGGCUCAACGUCUAGACGACUUGUUCGUCGAACAACACCUUGAGGUCGAGAUUUAAUGAGCAUCCAAUAAGGGUGUCGUCUAUUGGAAUGCCAGAAGGAGAAGUCCCGAGAAUAGCCGAGAUGUCGAUGAUGGUGGGGGUUAUAAGGCCGAACGGAAUGACCAUGGUGUUGGUAGCCAAGCACCAGAGGCUUAGAGUUGCCAUAAUGAGUUCUUUAUCCAUGGUAAUCUCCAUGGUCGAGAGUUUAAUGGCGUCGUGGAUGCCGAGAGCUUCCCACUCUUUACUAAAGAAUUUUUCCAUUCGUACGACCCAUGCCGCCCAGUUUGCAUUGGUCAAAGGCCAGGCUCCUUGAGGCUUUGUCAAACACCACUUUGACCAAUCAAAUCCUUGCAACAAAUGUGCCAAGCAGAUUGGUGAUGAACGAUGGCACUGUGUCCUUAAAGAGUGGGCAUAGGAUUUGGUGAGUGGUGUUUAGGUCACUCUCGAAACGCAGGGUCUUGAUGGCGUUCCGAUCGAUGAAGUCUUUGCACUUGUUGAACUCGUUGGAGAGUUGGGAAAUGAAGGGGGCCAUUGAUGAAGGCUUAAAGAUAUCUGAGAUGAAAGCUUGGGAUUUUCUGGUAUUGAAAGUUUUGAAAGCAAAGUGGUGAGAAAAUUUCAAGGGUUUUGGAAAGCAUAAGGUACGCGUGGAAGAGAUUCGAGUAUUUAUAGGCAUUUGGGAAGGAAGGCUAAACGUUUGAUUUUCAAAAUUAAGGAUAUAAUCGAGCGGGAAAGUUGCUAAUCAUUGUAGAUGUUCAGGAAAUCUAGGCAAAAAGGUUGAGGUUUUCACGGUUUAAGGAUGCACGAUUGCGUGUUGCGACAGGUUUAGUGCAAGAGAGACGUUUUUGCGAUCGUAUGUUUUCGAGGGUCAUGAUUGUGGAUUGCUAGGUUAACCAGGGGACUGACAUGUGGCAGGACGGUUGGGAAAUCAAGAUCGUGGGGUUAUGUCUCAUAAAUGUGCAUGGUAGUAUUUCUCAAGAGGAUUCAAUGAUUGUCUUUAGGUCGGUUUCACUUCUUCAAGGUCAAGGGUCGAACCAAGGAAUGUAGGUUGACGACCUCAGAAGCAAGGGGGUAAUGCUUGGUUUGGGCCAAGUUUAUAAUUGUUCUCGGCCCAAAGGCCAUGUUUAGGAGUCGUUGUGGGUCAUUCGGCUUAUGGGCCAUAUAGCCAAGGCCGGCCGUGCCCUAUUAGGAGUCCAUGGAUGGUUGAAUCUUGAUACGAGAAGGAGUUUUGACAGGAUAAGGAUGUAGAAGUUUAGGAUUGAAUGCGGCCUGAUAAGGGGGUUGAGUUCAAAGUCUUAGUAGGAGUAGGAGUGGCCGAGAUAAGGUUAGAUCGGGGGAAGGAGUUCUAAUCCGAGUAGGGUUGUGAUUCGAUUGGGAGCAGGUUGACUACUAUAAAUAGAGGGAUGAGUACAUCAUUAAAGUCUCUCCAAU